GAAAGUUAAACCCCAAAUUUGUACUAAUAUCAAAGCCUACACAUAAAUUAUGGUAAAAAUUAAUAAAAACUUUUGAUACACAUAAUACUAUAUAUACAUUAAGUUGACAGUAACACUUUCAGUGCACCACCCCAUCCCAAAGGCUAUUAUUAUUCGAGAUGGGACAAAUCGACAUAAUAUUUGAGUAUGUCAUGCCUGCCCACACUAAUACAGCAACAUAGUGCAAAUUACAGAUGUUUCUGGCAGCCGGAGUCAGUUUUGAUGGUAGACACCUCACCUUUAGGCCACGGAAUAUAUACAAGUGUUUGUAGCCAGCCAAAGAAUGCUGCCAAAUUCUAAAUAGGCCCCACGGGCACAUAAAAUUCACGGGAGGACUUCACGAGUGUGUUAUACAAAAAGACGGCUUAGAGAGGUCGGUCGUACUCGUACUCGUACUCAAUCAAUCUCUGGUUCAAAAUGUCUGCAUCAAAUUCAAUUAUGGUGGUGAGUCACAGCAAGGGCAAACUCCAUUAAUAACUGGCUAGCUAGGCAGCCAUGCAAAUAACAAAUUGUUGGGAUCCCAACAUUCAUAUGCAUAUGAUAUGGUGCAGGUAUACAAUUACAAACCGACCUGUAUGUAGAAUUAAUUCCUAAGCUUAUAAUUGAGAGAGAACAAAUCAUUCCACAUCAACAUGCACCGAUCGACAGCAAUAUAUUCAUUCAACAUCAAAAGUUUGGGAUGAAGAUUAUUUGAAUUAAUUUUAGAAGAGAGAGAAACUUAGAAAACUUGAGGAUUAUUAGUAUAAUUCAUAUUGGCUUUAGUUGCCAAGCAUUCAUGCAUAACAUAAUUGUUUACCACUUCCAUUGAAAUAAUUAGUUUUAGUUAAGCUUUCUUUUUGGUAAAGAUGUUAUAUAGUCCCAACAAGUUGUAAACAACAUUCUAUGAAUUCAUCAGUUAAUUUAGUAGCUCGGCUCCAUAGAAAUAGUAACGGGGGCUUUACAAACAUUCCCACGCCAAAAAGAAAUUCCGAUCUCCAUCUCAGGCCUCAAGGGUAUUUAUUUAUUAUUCAUCAAAGCAGCCCUUUACUGGGUAUGUAUUUUCUUUUCUUUUGGUCGUCAUAUAAGAAAACAAAUUUAUUUGUUCUUCAAUUUCAGCAGAGCAGAGGUAAUUAAUUGCAAAACCCAUCCAUGAUUUCACUUUUUAAAUUCAAGUAUUUUAACUGUUGGAGUAUAAAGCAAACAGUCUAACAAAAGGUUCAAACUUCAAAAUGUAAAUUUUGUGAACUAAAUUAUUGUUGGUUGAUAUUUGGAGAAGUAGUAAAUUAUUGUUAGUUGGACGGACGCUUCCAACAGGAGUUGCAAGUUGUUACUGUUAGCAUUCAGAUAGUACCACCCACCCACCCAAGUACAAAAAAACGGAAUGAAAUGAUUUUAAGAUAUUUUAAGUGUUGUCAUAUAAUAACAAAAUUAUCACAUAUAUCCAUUACAUUAGAAUGAAUUUUAUUCUACCUUUUCCACGCAAGGAAAGUGAUGAAUUUUCAUGGUUUAUCUUCAUUUUAUUUCAUUACUUUUUCUAUUACAUUCCCCCUCGAUCUAACCGUAGAAAAAGAAUACUAGAAACUAGAAACCAUGGGCAUAUUUAGGAUUCAUUCAUUCAUUCUCUAUCCUCCCCGUACUAAACACCCAGCAAGAAAUUCCUAUUAGGUUCAACAAUUCAGUGUUGAGGAGAUUAAAUCAAAGGUUGGACAUCUUUGUGGCCAAUGUUGUUGGUGGUUUGAGAAGACAAAAAUACACAAGUCAUACCCGUGAAUGUUGCAUGUGAUCAUAAAAGAGCUGUUAUAAUCACUUCUCUUAACAAGUUAAGUUAUAGACCCACUCACGUGUCUCUUUUUGGCUUUUACAUGGAAGUCUAAUUGUAACAACUACAAGUAUGUAUAACCAAUAGAAUGAAAUAAUGAAUGAAUGAAUGAAUGAAUGAAUAUAUUCACAUCAUUAAAGGAAAAGAAAAGUGGAGAUUGCAUGAUAAUUACUUCAAAUAUUUGAAUAAUUAAAGCCAACAAUUCUUUUAGUUGCCAAAAAGAUAAUGAAUUAUUGGGGGUUGGGAAAAAGACUUGCAUUUCAGGCUAUGGGUAAAUUUUGGAUAGAUCACAUGCAACUUAAUAUUGCCACGUGGCAAAAUGUGACCUGGUGGACCAAAUGAAAAGCCAACCAAAUUUCACAAAAAGGGAUAGAAAAUAGUUGAUAAUUAUGAAACAUAAAAAAUACCUCUAGCAUUAUUAAACAAUCUCUGCUCAUACUGCACAGUUAAGUGAGCCUUGGAGUAUUCUUCCUUCCUAUUUAAAUAACAAACCAGCUGCUCUGUUGGCUAUCUGAAAAACCACUCCUCCCUGACUCUCCAAAAAAAAUGACUGCUUUUAGUUUCAGAAGCCUCACAUUUAUACUUCUCAUUUCCUUACUCCUCUGGUCUUCCACAUUUGAAACUUGCAAUGCUAGAAGAGGCAAGCAUUGGAGGCAAAGUAAAGCUUUCACAACUUCUCUGUCCAAGAAGAAAGGAAAGAAUCAUGGCCGUAGUAGUCAUCACCACGGAAAUGGCAGCAAGUCAAAAUCCAAAACUCCCACUCCAGUAGCACCAGCACCUCCAUUACCUAAACCAAAAGAUGAUAGCUCAUCAGCCCCACCAAAGAAAGGUCACAAUUAUGUUCCUGCUGCUACUUAUAAUGUCUUAGAUUUUGCCGCCAAAGGGGAUGGAAAAACCGAUGAUACAAAGGUAAUUUUUCUAUUAUAUUCACCAACAGACAUCACAUUUCAUAACAAUUCUCCAUGUAACUCCGCACACAAAGUAAAAUUUGUUCCAAGUUCAUGCUAUAAGUGCAGUCUUAAGCUUUCAUGUCCUUAUCCAGAAUGUUGUAGAUAGGACCACGUAAACAAAAACAUGCAUAUAGAAUGUAGCACUCCAGGUGAACAAGCGUGACUCCUUAGGUACUUGCCACUAACUUCUUCUUCUUCAAAUGUUCAAAGAAUUGACAAGCAUCACUUAAAAAGAAUUUCAAAAUUUUAAUGUAUUUUUAGUUCAUCAGAAUUAUAGGAUGCCUUAGGAAUUUAAAGGAGUGUUACAUUCAAAUUAUAUUGUAGAAAUUUUGUUACUGUGGUAGGUAACUAUCAGAUGUUCCUUCUACGAAAGGGAAAAAAAAAUCAAAUCUUAGGUGUAUAAAGCUAGACUAUGCCAAAAAUCAUACAAAGAAAAAGACAAUAGAACUUACAGAGUAAUUAACAACAAAAUCAGGAAGGGACCACUCAAGUGACUCUAAUUACAGCAGUUUGGUCCAGAUUCCAACAGUAAUUGUAUACAGUUAGGUACAAACUACAACAGUAUGACAAAAAAUUAAUUCAUCUUUUAAAGUUGGAGAAGAGAAAUAGUAGACAAAAACAAAGUUAAUUUACUGACUCAGAAAAAAUGUCUCUGUCUCAUGUGCAAAACAGGCAUUUCAAGCUGCAUGGGCAGCUGCUUGUAAGAUGGAGGCAUCCACCAUCAUCGUCCCAUCAGAAUAUGAGUUCCUUGUGGGACCCAUCUCGUUUUCUGGUCCUUACUGUCAACACAAC
rnacentral:lncRNA from 1 species